rnacentral:sRNA from 1 species
CGGCAAUGGCAUCCUGCGGCCAGCACUCCGGGACGAGAUCUACUGCCAGAUCAGCAAGCAGCUGACCCACAACCCCUCCAAGAGCAGCUAUGCCCGGGGCUGGAUUCUCGUGUCUCUCUGCGUGGGCUGUUUCGCCCCCUCCGAGAAGUUUGUCAAGUACCUGCGGAACUUCAUCCAUGGGGGCCCGCCCGGCUACGCCCCAUACUGUGAGGAGCGUCUGAGGAGGACCUUUGUCAAUGGGACACGGACACAGCCACCCAGCUGGCUGGAGCUGCAGGCCACCAAGUCCAAGAAGCCAAUCAUGUUGCCCGUGACAUUCAUGGACGGGACCACCAAGACCCUGCUGACAGACUCGGCGACCACGGCCAAGGAGCUCUGCAACGCGCUGGCCGACAAGAUCUCUCUCAAGGACCGGUUCGGGUUCUCCCUCUACAUUGCCCUGUUUGACAAGGUAUGGCCGCCCGAAAGCACCUCCUCCCGGCCCCACUCCGGGCCGCCAGUGCUGCCACCUGCUGGCCGGGGCUAUUCACCCUUGAGCACCUCGGUUUCCCCCUGAGCCUGUGCUAAUUGGCUCUGCCUGACUCCUCAGUACCGCCGAGAACUCGGCCAGGUGCGGUGGUUCACGCCUGUAAUCCCAGCACUUCGGGAGGCUGAGGCAGGCAGAUCACAAAGUCAGGAGUUCAAGACCAGCCUGGCUAAUGUAGUGAAACCUCGUGUCUACUAAAAAUACAAAAAUUAAUGGGGCACGGUGG